AGCCCUUUUUGAGGAGCUGCAAAGGGUGCACAGGCCACUAGCUGGAGGUUCUUUGGUACCCCCUCCUUUUAGGUGGGGUCAGCAGACAUAGGGGCACCAUGUGGCCGAGUUACCAAGAUGAACACGAGUUCAACGCCCACCUGGUUUGUCGCAUGUGCUGUAUGGAUGAACGGGACCGGGUUCAGAAGAAAACGUUCACCAAGUGGGUCAACAAGCACUUAAUGAAGGUCCGCAAGCACAUCAAUGAUCUUUAUGAAGAUCUGCGGGAUGGCCAUAACCUGAUCUCUCUGUUGGAGGUCCUCUCAGGCAUCAAACUGCCCCGGGAGAAGGGCAGGAUGCGUUUUCAUAGGCUGCAGAAUGUGCAGAUUGCCCUGGACUUCCUAAAGCAGCGACAGGUAAGACCAUCACAUGCCUUCUCCAUUCUUCCAGGCUGUGUUGGCACUGGGGCCCUAUUCAGAGA
rnacentral:sRNA from 1 species